rnacentral:rRNA from 1 species
AACGAACGCUGGCGGCAUGCCUAACACAUGCCAGUCGAACGAGACCUUCGGGUCUAGUGGCGCACGGGUGCGUAACGCGUGGGAACCUGCCCUUAGGUUCGGAAUAACUCCCCGAAAGGGGUGCUAAUACCGGAUAAUGUCUUCGGACCAAAGAUUUAUCGCCUUUGGAUGGGCCCGCGUUGGAUUAGCUAGUUGGUAGGGUAAAAGCCUACCAAGGCGACGAUCCAUAGCUGGUCUGAGAGGAUGAUCAGCCACACUGGGACUGAGACACGGCCCAGACUCCUACGGGAGGCAGCAGUGGGGAAUAUUGGACAAUGGGCGAAAGCCUGAUCCAGCAAUGCCGCGUGAGUGAUGAAGGCCUUAGGGUUGUAAAGCUCUUUUGCCCGGGAUGAUAAUGACAGUACCGGGAGAAUAAGCUCCGGCUAACUCCGUG